rnacentral:rRNA from 1 species
GACGAACGCUGGCGGCGUGCUUAACACAUGCAAGUCGAACGAAGUGGCGCACGGGUGAGUAAUACGUGUGUAACCUGCCCUCCUUUUUGGGAUAAGCCUUGGAAACGGGGUCUAAUACCGAAUAAAGGGGGAUGGGCUCGCGGCCUAUAAGCUGGUUGGUGGGGUGAUGGCCUACCAAGGCGGUGACGGGUAGCCGGCCUGAGAGGGUGAGCGGCAACAUUGGGACGAGGAUAAGGCCCAGACUACUACGGGAAGCAGCAGUGGGGGAUAUUGCACAAAGGGAGAAAGACGGAUGCAGCGAAGCCGCGUGGAGAAUGAAGGCUUUCGGGUUGUAAACCUCUUUCGCUAUCGAAAGGGUAGGUGGAGGAGAAACGCCGGCUAACUACGUGCCAGCAGCCGCGGUAAUAC